GACUGCGUACCUUUUGUAUAAUGGGUCAGCGACUUAUAUUUUGUAGCAAGGUUAACUGAAUAGGGGAGCCGAAGGGAAACCGAGUCUUAACUGGGCGAAGAGUUGCAAGGUAUAGACCCGAAACCCGGUGAUCUAGCCAUGAGCAGGUUGAAGAUUGGGUAACACUAAUUGGAGGACCGAACCGACUAAUGUUGAAAAAUUAGCGGAUGACUUGUGGCUGGGGGUGAAAGGCCAAUCAAACCGGGAGAUAGCUGGUUCUCCCCGAAAUCUAUUUAGGUAGAGCCUUGAGCGGACACCUUCGGGGGUAGAGCACUGUUUCGGCUAGGGGGUCAUCCCGACUUACCAAACCGAUGCAAACUCCGAAUACCAGUGAGUACUAUCCGGGAGACACACGGCGGGUGCUAACGUCCGUCGUGGAAAGGGAAACAACCCAGACCGCCAGCUAAGGUCCCAAAGUCUAUAUUAAGUGGGAAACGAAGUGGGAAGGCUUAGACAGCUAGGAUGUUGGCUUAGAAGCAGCCAUCAUUUAAAGAAAGCGUAAUAGCUCACUAGUCGAGUCGGCCUGCGCGGAAGAUGUAACGGGGCUAAAAUAUAGCACCGAAGCUGCGGCAUCAAUGGAAACAUUGUUGGGUAGGGGAGCGUUCUGUAAGCGGAAGAAGGUGCAUUGAGAAGUGUGCUGGACGUAUCAGAAGUGCGAAUGCUGACAUAAGUAACGAU
rnacentral:rRNA from 1 species